UACUCCUACGGGAGGCAGCAGUGGGGAAUAUUGCGCAAUGGGGGGAACCCUGACGCAGCCAUGCCGCGUGAAUGAAGAAGGCCUUCGGGUUGUAAAGUUCUUUCGGUAUUGAGGAAGGUUGAUGUGUUAAUAGCACAUCAAAUUGACGUUAAAUACAGAAGAAGCACCGGCUAACUCCGUGCCAGCAGCCGCGGUAAUACGGAGGGUGCGAGCGUUAAUCGGAAUAACUGGGCGUAAAGGGCACGCAGGCGGUUAUUUAAGUGAGGUGUGAAAGCCCUGGGCUUAACCUAGGAAUUGCAUUUCAGACUGGGUAACUAGAGUACUUUAGGGAGGGGUAGAAUUCCACGUGUAGCGGUGAAAUGCGUAGAGAUGUGGAGGAAUACCGAAGGUGAAGGCAGCCCCUUGGGAAUGUACUGACGCUCAUGUGCGAAAGCGUGGGGAGCAAACAGGAUUAGAUACCCUGGUAGUCCACGCUGUAAACGCUGUCGAUUUGGGGGUUGGGGUUUAACUCUGGCGCCCGUAGCUAACGUGAUAAAUCGACCGCCUGGGGAGUACGGCCGCAAGGUUAAAACUCAAAUGAAUUGACGGA
rnacentral:rRNA from 1 species